AUUAGAUUUAUUGUUAAAUAUUUUUAUCCUGCCUUUAUUAUUAUUUUUUCAUAAAUAGCUUAAGUUGGCAAACAUACCCAAUGCUCCUUUCUCGUCCAAUUUUCCCUACAAUAGCAACAACCCUUUGAGGUGGAUCAGGCUGAAAGAGAGUGACUGGCCCCAAAUCACCCAGUUGGCUUUCAUCUGUAAGGUGGGACUAGAACUCACAGUCGCCUGGUUUCUAGGAUGAAAUGAGGAAUGGGCCUCAAGACUUAAAAAAAGGUUUGCAGCCAUGUGUCUGGGGAAAUGUGGACAGAAGAUUGGAUUAUUUAUAUUGAUAUUGUUUCCUGAUUGCUUAUUUGUACCCUAUGACUAUCAUUAAGUGUUGUACCAUAUGAUUCUUGACGAAUGUAUCUUGUCUUUUUAUGUACACUGAGAGCAUAUGCACCAAAGACAAAUUCCUUGUGUGUCCAAUCACACUCGGCCAAUAAAGAAUUCUAAUC